CUAAGAAUAUUCCGCAAUGGACGGAAGUCUGACGGAGCGACGCCGCGUGGAUGAAGAAGGCCGAAAGGUUGUAAAGUUCUUUUGCUAGGGGAGAAUAAGUGAGGGAGGGAAUGCCCUCAUGAUGACAAGGACUAGCGAAUAAGCCCCGGCCAACUACGUGCCAGCAGCCGCGGUAACACGUAGGGGGCGAGCGUUGUUCGGAAUUACUGGGCGUAAAGGGCAUGUAGGCGGCUUGGUAAGCCUGGCGUGAAAGACUGCAGCUUAACUGUAGGGAUGCGUUGGGAACUGCUUAGCUUGAGUUACGGAGAGGGAGCUGGAAUUCCUGGUGUAGGGGUGAAAUCUGUAGAUAUCAGGAAGAACACCGAUGGCGAAGGCAAGCUUCUGGUCGAUAACUGACGCUGAGGUGCGAAAGUGUGGGGAUCAAACA
rnacentral:rRNA from 1 species